AUAUUUUCAGGCAGCUAUUGAGCUUUUCUAGAGGAAGAGCUGAUGAAAAGAGUCACAGCUGAAUAGUGGAGAGAAAAAGCCCGGUAUUUAUUGCUUUUGUUUGGCUUUUGGCUACAGAGACAGGAACCUUCUAAUGGGCCACCUCGUUCCACACUACAAAGACCCAGAGGACACCGGACCACCAGACCACUGUACUGGGAGCUCACACCUAAGAGGUUGCUUUCAGUGGCAGAGGAAACACUGGACUUUUUUUCAGUAAUGAUGGAACUGUUAAGGCUCUGACAACUCUUAGAGAUUGUGCAAAUGUAUUUUGUAUAGUGGGAUGGACAUGAGACUUUGGGGAUCAAGGGUGGAAUGUUAUGAUUUAUACCUGUCCCCAAAAAGUCUUGUGUUAGAGGGUGUGAGUCACUGGCACUAUGACCUGGAAAGUAAUAUUCGCAUCCUUCGCUCUCUGGUUCUGGCUCUCUCUCUCUCUCUCUCUCUCUCUGCUUCCUGGCUCUGGCCACCAGGAUGUGAACAACUUUACUUCUCUAUACCCUUCCAUCAUGCCUCUCUGCCUCGCUCUGCCUUGGAUUCAGUUCAACAUGCAUAGGUUGAAA
rnacentral:lncRNA from 1 species